UGGGGAAUCUUGCACAAUGGGGGCAACCCUGAUGCAGCGACGCCGCGUGAGCGAUGAAGGUUUUCGAAUCGUAAAGCUCUGUCCUAUGGGAAGAUAAUGACGGUACCAUAGGAGGAAGCCCCGGCUAACUACGUGCCAGCAGCCGCGGUAAUACGUAGGUGGCAAGCGUUGUCCGGAAUUAUUGGGCGUAAAGCGCGCGCAGGUGGUUUAGAAAGUCUGAUGUGAAAGCCCACGGCUCAACCGUGGAGGGUCAUUGGAAACUAAUAAACUUGAGUGCAGGAGAGAAAAGUGGAAUUCCUAGUGUAGCGGUGAAAUGCGUAGAGAUUAGGAGGAACACCGGUGGCGAAAGCGGCUUUUUGGCCUGCAACUGACACUGAGGCGCGAAAGCGUGGGGAGCGAACAGG
rnacentral:rRNA from 1 species